rnacentral:tRNA from 1 species
AGCCCUGUGGUGUUCAGCACAUCAGAUUGCAAGUCUGAGGGCGCAGAGUAAUUCCUGCCGGGGCUU